AUUUGUAUAGUAUAAAAAUUAUAUUUAACUUCCAAUUAAAUGAUCCUUUAGGUACAAAUA
rnacentral:tRNA from 1 species